UGACAGUUACAUUUGGGUUCA
rnacentral:piRNA from 1 species